GGCGCCAUCAGCGUGCAUGUCUUUACGGCGCCAGCAUGUAUACAGUACACGCACGCUUUGUAUGGAUUUAACAUUGUUAUAAAGCUUAAUUAUUAUGAAUAUUUUUAUUGAUGCCCUGAGUAUUUGGUAAAUUCUCUGAAAACCAAAGCUACUGACCAUGUUUUUCCAGCAAAAAAUGUUAAACGACCUAAACGUGGUGAGGCCAAUCAUAUCCCAUCCCUUCCUGCUGGAGAGACAUCAGCAAACCUUGAAAUUGAGCGCCUGGCACUUUUAAAGGAAGUGAAGAAAAGAAACAAUGCAUUGACAAUCAGAGAAAAAAUGACAAAGACGUUUGCCAUACGCAGACAAGAGAUUGUGGAAAACCAACCUAGUGUUCAAGAACUGCAAGAAAGAUGGCCAGCUCUGUUUCAACAAGAGGAGAUUAAUGCGGAAUUUUUGCGCAUCACGACCUUACCUUUACUACCGAGAUUUAUGGCUUCUUUGGACAGACAGAGCUCUCAAAAGCUCUCAGCUUUUCCAGGUUAUUAGGAGCAAAGGUGGAGUCCUCCGUGAAAAAACUAAGGACACUAUUCAAGUUAUGGAUCAGAAUCUGGACAUAGACAUCAGAAGAGAGUGCCUGCUGAAGUGCCUGAUCAUGUAUAUUGGUGAAGAUGCAAGCUGUCUGAUCAAAGAAUACCAGGUAAUGUAGGCA